GCGUAGCUCAGCGGUAGAGCAAUCGGCUGUUAACCGAUCGGUCGUAGGUUCGAUCCCUACCG
rnacentral:tRNA from 2 species